rnacentral:rRNA from 1 species
UGAGGAAUAUUGCACAAUGGGCGAAAGCCUGAUGCAGCAACGCCGCGUGAGUGAUGAAGGCCUUUGGGUCGUAAAACUCUGUCCUUGGGGAAGAAAAAAAUGACGGUACCCUUGGAGGAAGCCCCGGCUAACUACGUGCCAGCAGCCGCGGUAAUACGUAGGGGGCAAGCGUUAUCCGGAAUUAUUGGGCGUAAAGAGUGCGUAGGUGGUUUUGUAAGCGUAGGGUGAAAGGCAGUAGCUCAACUAUUGUUAGCCCUGCGAACUGUGAGACUUGAGUGCAGGAGAGGAAAGUGGAAUUCCUAGUGUAGCGGUGAAAUGCGUAGAUAUUAGGAGGAACACCAGUGGCGAAGGCGACUUUCUGGACUGUAACUGACACUGAGGCACGAAAGCGUGGGUAGC